CAGAGGAAAGCCAGAAACAGGACUGGUGCAAUGGCAAUGCAAGCAAACAGUACAAUGUGUGCAAAGCUUAGGUCAUUGCUGUCACUGCUCCCACCCCAUUGCCAGUGUCAGUGACACUCUGAUUUAUGGUGGUCAAAGGGCAAAAAUGAAGUAGUGGCAGUGGGAGGAAAAGGCAAGGGGGAAAUAGAAAGGGGAGCUCAAGCCCAAGCAGAAAUAGGACGCUCCCAUUUUGGAGACCACCAGAACAAGGUGUCCCAGGACUGAGGUUUCUACUCCCAGCAGCUCUCAGUGCUGAGUGCAGCUGUUGCAGCUCUCAUCAGGGGCUGAUUCACUUCCACUGUGACACUGAGUGGUGCCACUGCAUGUCCUGUUUGCUGCGCUUGGGGGAAUGUGAAGCAGCCACAACACAGAAAUGAACAGUCUCCAAACAGCUGUCUCCAGUGGGGAAUUUUUAGGCCUUUCAACAUGAAAUCAGUGACUGUUCCAAUUCUCUCAGAUUCACACGAUAGAAGAUAUAGGCAUGUGUCUACAUCCUCAUGCAAAAUUUUUAGACUCUGGGCUUGAGCACUGUAUGGCACAGGCUCACAUCUCUUGUAUGUCUUCUUUUAGCCUCUCCCACCACUGCCAGAUUGCUUAGCAUCCUUUUCCACCCUUGUGUUUUCAGGUUUUUUACUUCAUUAAACAGCUUGGCAUCUUAAUCAGAAAUCAUCUUCUUCCUAAAGUCAAUCCACCUUGCUCACAAUUGUCAUUAGUGGGCUUCAUUUUUUAGAAGAAUUGUGGAAAUUCACCCCAGAUGUACCACAUUCCAGGUUGAACAACCAUCAUGGAUCUCAGCAGGACUGUGUAAUUUACAUCACAAUGGUUCAUGGCAACAUAUGGGGAUCCUUAUUAGAACAAAGAGCAGAAGAAAAUCGAUGGAAUAUCACAGUGGAAGCAAGAGAUGAGAGGGAGAACAAAAGCAACAUGCAUUAUACGUGGCAGUUACAAUGGGGAACUUCCAGCAUCUGUGUGUCACCCCUUUGCUCUCUGCUUGCCUGGAAGAUGCCAAAGUGAUCAGGACAAAAUUUUUGCUGCCGCUGUGUCAAGGCAGCACGUAUCUAUCCAUGGGACUAAGCAGGCUCCUGAUUCAGGGACAAGAUCAUCCUGUGCUAAUAAAGAUUUGAGCAGAGGAUCUUUGAAAUUAUUUGGCUAGUUACAAUGCUGUAGAAUGUCUUCUCACAAUAAUUUCUAUUCUGUAGUUUAUCUUCUGACUGUAAAUAAAAGCCAUUAAAAAGCCUUAUGAGUCA
rnacentral:lncRNA from 1 species